AAUAGAUACCCAGGUAGUCCACGCCGUAAACGAUGAGUGCUAAGUGUUAGGGGGUUUCCGCCCCUUAGUGCUGCAGCUAACGCAUUAAGCACUCCGCCUGGGGAGUACGGUCGCAAGACUGAAACUCAAAGGAAUUGACGGGGGCCCGCACAAGCGGUGGAGCAUGUGGUUUAAUUCGAAGCAACGCGAAGAACCUUACCAGGUCUUGACAUCCCAUUGACCACUAUGGAGACAUAGUUUUCCCUUCGGGGACAACGGUGACAGGUGGUGCAUGGUUGUCGUCAGCUCGUGUCGUGAGAUGUUGGGUUAAGUCCCGCAACGAGCGCAACCCUUGUUCUUAGUUGCCAUCAUUUAGUUGGGCACUCUAAGGAGACUGCCGGUGACAAACCGGAGGAAGGUGGGGAUGACGUCAAAUCAUCAUGCCCCUUAUGACCUGGGCUACACACGUGCUACAAUGGACGGUACAAACGGUUGCCAACCCGCGAGGGGGAGCUAAUCCGAUAAAACCGUUCUCAGUUCGGAUUGUAGGCUGCAACUCGCCUACAUGAAC
rnacentral:rRNA from 1 species